UGCACGCCGUGACGUGUUUAAACGGCGCCAGCCGUGCAAGGAGAUGGCAAUGUCGGACGGACAGAAAGGACGACAAAAAUCGAUCAUAUCGAAGAAGAACCGGAGGAGAAAGGGGAAGACGAGAGAAGAAACGAUUAAUCCUGCCACGGGGCAGAAUUUCGACCAAAUUUUCAGUAGUUUUUCCUCCUUUCUUUUGAUUCUUUAGGCUCUUCUUUCCUUAGGGUUAGGGCAUCAUGGCGGCGUCGGCGGCGGAGGCUGCGGUAGCGGGAUCGGGGCCCUCUGCUGGCCCUGUCAACGGGGAGGAGCAGGUGCGGGUGCGGCGGCGGACCCUGGAGGCGGUGCUGGAGCAGUGCCGACAAGCCCUCGAGCUGCUCCAGGACGCCAAACUCGACCAAGAUCCCGCUGGAGAUGCGGCGGCGGAAGAGGAGGAGAAGGAGGAGGAGAAGGGGGAAGAGGAGGGUUACACGCCGCGCUCGCCUUCUGCCGACGAUCAGGAGAUCGAUGAGCUGUGUGAUCUUCUCAAGUCUAAAGUUGAAUCAUCUGACUUUCUUGAAAAGCUUGGGAGCAACCACAAGUCAGUUUUUCACAGUAUUUCUGAUGAGAAUGCAUCUUGGGAUAUGGUUAGCACCAUGGAUCUGUGGGAAGAUAAGCAAGUGGAUGAUGAAUCAGAUCCAGAUGGUUAUGUUCUUGUCAGGCAAGAGGACAUAGUGGAGGGGAUUGCUAGCUUCAUGGCUGCAUACCUAUUAUCACUGAAACAAACUAAAGAAUUAACUCCCAAUGAACUUCAAGAAGGCGAGUUCUGUUACCUAAGUAUAAAAUUUUACAUCCCUCAGCAAAACAUUUGCUGUGAAAAAGAAGAAAAGUAGACUUCGAAAGGCAUGGGAUGGAAGCAAAGUUAUUUAUAAUGUGGCUUCUUGGAGUGCAACUGCUAUAGGCAUAUACCAAAAUCCAGCAAUUCUUAAAGCAGCCUCUGCAGCCUUCUGGUCAUCCUGCCGUAUAAUAUCAAAGUUGAUGUGAAACUUUGCUGUAAUGACUUGGGAAGAUGGGAAGCCUGAGGGAUUUGGCAUCCAGUGUCUUGCACCUUCAGUGUGCCAGAAGAGAGACUGUUUCAAGGACCUUCAUAGAGCUCCUAGAGUUGACACUUGUUAUUGAUUUGGAUAACUCUGAUGCGCGAAGCUUUCAUAGAGCUCCUGGAGGUCUCAAAAAUGUAGAAUGUUCACCCAUGUGUUUAUAGAUGAUUGAUUGUCCAUCCACAGUCUCUUGUAUCUCUCUUUCUCUCUCUCUAUCUCUCGCUCGCUCUCUCCUGGUUGUGAUAUUUGUGAAAUCAACUGUAUAUAUUUCAUUGUUUGGAUACUUAAUACUUCUUUAUCUGAAUCAUAUGGCUUGAAUUCAGUUUGCCUUUCUGUUUA